CAUCAUCAAACUUCUUCAAAUAAACCUCCAUUUUUGCAAGUUCUUUGCAUUUAUAGUUUAAAUCGGAAGUACUCUUGAACUUGGAGCUUAUUUUUCAAAUAUAUCAUUUAAGCACCUUGACCUAGUUAAAUGCUAUAAUCUUACAAUAGUUGGUUUAUACAUGGAUAGAAAAGCCAACAAACUUAUGAAAAUUAAAAGUGUGAGGCUGUGUGUUUGUAAAACGUCAUUACACCUGUUGUGAAAAGUCUUUUUGAGGUUUAACUUGCAUGCAUUGAGAAAUUAUUUGUUUAUGAAUUUUUGACUACCAGGAGAAGGAAAUAAGUAUGUUGCUUGAAGAUGAAAGAGGAUAUUUGAAGUUGAUGUUCUCUUUUGUUUUUCACAUUUCAUAUUGUUUCACACUUCCUUUUUUUCCUUUUAAUUGUGGAUCCUUGUUUUUGCUCUCACAGAACCCAAAAUGCUAUUUGCAAGAAAUACAAACAAUCAACUUGAAUAAUGUCAACUUACAGUUUACUGAGAAUGCACUUCGAGUUAUUGUUGAGGAAGGCAUUGCCAAAAACACUGGUGCACGAGACUUAAGAUCUAUACUAGAAAGUAUUCUGACUUAAGCCAUGUUUGAGAUCCUAUCGCAUAAUCACCAUUUGUCUGCCAAAUAUUUUGAGACCAAACAUGUUUGGCAAUUGCACUGUUCAAGUUGUUUUGUGCAACGCUGUUUGAUGGGGGAGUCAAGUCAAAUACUGGUUUAUUUGCCUUGCAGCAAUCAUCUAUUACAAACAUAUACUCGAGAAGCUUGACUCCAUUUUGCAGAUGACAGGCAGGGACAAGGACUACAGAUAUAUGGCAACUUCUGAUUUGCUAAAUGAGCAAAGAGGGGUUUAAACUAAAUGUUUCUGGAUUGGCAGUGAAAUGGUUUGACCUUUUCUCAUUUGCUCAUAAGUAUCCACCGAGUCAGUUGUAGAGAAGA